AAGCAGCUGCGCGGGGGUUCCGGCACGAUACCUAUUUCAUUAGAGUAGUGGAGAGGUUCGUAGGUUAGAUUAAGAUGUAUUCUAGGUGUAGUCUCUAUACCAGUAGGAAUUAUAAUGUUUUAAAAAAUGUAGAUUUAAAAGUGAAUUAGAAUAAUGAAAUAAGUCUCGACCUAGAGAAGAUUGCAUAAAAUGGAUAGCAUAGAACGAUCCAAGAUGGCGCAGUCAUCGCCCGGUUGAAAAUGUAGGCUGUCGUAACUGCGUAAUUUGGUUUAUCAUCGAAAAGAUGGGAGUGAAAUCGCCCCGGGAGGCAGCAAAGAUAUUAAUAAUAAGAGCCGGGUUAUCACGGUCAGGCAGGCAGGUCGCAUAGCCAACGUUGUUGUAGGCCGCUUGUAGAGCCUUCGUAUACCCUUGGUCGCGACGAUUUUGUAUCAUCAAGGAACCCCGGUCGUCCGUAGAGAAACUUCCCCGAUUAGGGAUUUUCUUAAAUUUAAAUUAAGUACAGGUAUAUAAAACUAGUUCAUAACAUUUAUAUAAUAGUUACACAAUUUCGUACACAUUAAGACGAAUUUUGCUUCAAUAAUUCAUGAAGUUUUUCGACAUCGCACACAUUUACAUUUUUUAAACAGAUAUUAAUAUAUAUUAUUUUCAUUUAAACGAACAUAUUCGGAUCUUAUUACAUCCUAUGUGUAGAUAUGACC